rnacentral:rRNA from 1 species
UCGAGAGUUUGAUCCUGGCUCAGAUUGAACGCUGGCGGAAUGCUUUACACAUGCAAGUCGAACGGUAGAGGGGGCAACCCCUUGAGAGUGGCGAACGGGUGAGUAAUAUAUCGGAACGUGCCCAGUCGUGGGGGAUAACGUAGUGAAAAUUACGCUAAUACCGCAUACGAUCUAAGGAUGAAAGCGGGGGAUCGCAAGACCUCGCGCGAUUGGAGCGGCCGAUGUCCGAUUAGCUAGUUGGCGGGGUAAAGGCCCACCAAGGCGACGAUCAGUAUCUGGUUUGAGAGGACGAUCAGACACACUGGAACUGAGACACGGUCCAGACUCCUACGGGAGCAGUAGUGGGGAAUUUCCGCAAUGGGCGAAAGCCUGACGGAGCAAUACCGCGUGAGGGACGACUGCCUAUGGGUUUGUAAACCUCUUUUUUCAGGUAGGAAUCAAUGACGUGUACCUGAAGAUAAGCAUCGGCUAACUCCGUGCCAGCAGCCGCGGUAAUCUGAUGGCGCGAGGG